rnacentral:rRNA from 1 species
UACGGAGGGUGCAAGCGUUAUCCGGAUUUACUGGGUUUAAAGGGUGCGUAGGCGGGCCAUUAAGUCAGUGGUGAAAGCUCCGAGCUUAACUCGGAAACUGCCAUUGAUACUAUUGGUCUUGAAUUCGGUCGAGGUUGGCGGAUGUGUCGUGUAGCGGUGAAAUGCUUAGAUAUGACACAGAACACCGAUUGCGAAGGCAGCUAGCUAGACCGACAUUGACGCUGAGGCACGAAAGCGUGGGGAUCAAACAGG